rnacentral:lncRNA from 1 species
AGAAUGACCCUACUAUCGGAUAGAUUACUCUCAAAAUGGCCUGACUAUCGGAGAGAUUACUCUCAAAAUAGCCCGACUAUUGGAGAGAUUACUCUCACAAUGGCCCGACUAUCGGAGAGAUUGCUCUCAAUGUGGACCGACUAUCGGAGAGACUACUCUCAAAAUAGCCCAACUAUCGGAGAGAUUACUCUCAAUAUGGCCUGACUAUCGGAGAGAUUACUCUCAAAAUGGCUCGACUAUCGGAGAGAUUACUCUCAAUGUGGCAUGACUAUCAGAGAGAUUACUCGCAAUGUGGCUCGACUAUCAGCAAUGCCAAUUUAAGGUGCAAAGGGACUCAAAUGUCCACCUUAAGAUUGGAAAGUUAUAGUUCCUUUCAAGGACAAACCUGCGAAGAGGCCAACUUAAGGUGCAAAGGGACUCAUAUGUCCAUCUUAAGAUUGGAAAGUUAUAGUUCUUUUUAAGGACAAACCCGUGAAAAGGCCAACUUAAGGUGCAAAGGGACUUAUAUGUCCACCUUGAGAUUGGAAAGUUAUAAGGCUUCAAUUCGAAAAUGACAUCGCAUGAACACUUGGAAAACUUUGAAGAUUAGGCGGACUUUGCAGACUUCAACUCAAAUAUUUGGAGGGCUUAAACAAUUCUACUUUAAGACCGGCGAAUUUGAAGACUCAAACUUGAAGACCGACGAACUUUAAAACUUCAACUUUGAGACUUGGAGGGCCUAAAUAUUUCAACUUGAAGAUCGGCGAAUUUGAAGACUUCAACUUGAAGACCGCCGGGCUUGAAGACGUCAACUUUGACACUUGGAGGGCCUAAAUAUUUUAACUUCAAGAUCUGUGAAUUUGAAGACUUUAACUUAAAGACCAACAGACUUGAAGAAAUCAACAUUGAGACUUGGAGGGCCUAAAUAUUUCAACUUGAAGAUCAGCAGAUUUGAAGACUUCAACUUGAAGAUCGACGGGGUUAAAAAUUUCAACUUGGGGACUUCAACUUGAAUACACUUAAAGACUUCAACUUCGAGACUUCAAGGGCUUAACUAUUUCAGCUUCUCUUUUGCUUUACAUUGUUUGACUUUUAUCUUAGUCACAUUGUUUUUAGCUUUACGUGCUUGUAACAAAUGAUUCAUAUCUUGUUGUGGGAGA